ACACACGUUUUUAUUUUUCUACUUUCGCGCCACAUGACAUGCGUGUUGGAGUCUGAGGCAAGCUGGUUACCGCUGGCAAAUUUUAACAAUCGUUUUAAUAUAAGUCAAAGCCGAAUGACUAGACUUUUUAAGGAGCUCGUCAUUAACUAGCGAAGUAUCGCAUGGAAAUUGAUUUGAGGGCCUUGCUACAAACGUUACUAGCUAACGUUAGUCUCACAAUCUCAAGUCAUAUAAGACGUGGCCAUAAACCAUUUAACGUUAGCUAGAUAUGCUAAAAGUAAACAAAGUGUGCCAGUGUGACCCCAGGUGAAUGCUUAACUCACUUUUCUUCUCACCCUUUUUGUUUCAUGGUGGUUAGACAGUUUUAUAAUCGUUUGGUGAAAUGGUAUCUCCGAGAGCUGACAGAGGGAUAACCUGUAACCAUGCGACCACUGUGGCCCCUCGAUGCUUGUGGUUUGUGUUGUACGGAAUUGAAGCGUGACAGAAAUCAACUUCUACCAUGCCUACAUUCUGUGUGUCAGGGGUGUGUUCCCCUAAGUGAUUUCAAGACAGAAUGUCCGGUCUGUGGAAGGCAAUACACUUCUUCCGAAAUCAUUGACAAUCCUUUCCUCCCUAGCUUCCCCACUGAUUCAAAACCCUGGUGUGGGGGUUGUGGUGAGCCUGUGGUCUGUGGCUGGUGUGUAGAAUGUGGCGAACCGCUCUGCUCUGACUGUUGCAGCCCACAAGAGGGUGAAGUUAACACGCAACCAUAAUGUCCUACCCCAAUAACCUCCAGGUACCAGUUUGCCCAGGACGCUUUACCAGAGCAGAGGAAAUGCUUACAGUAUCUAAUCGAGACUGUGCGGAUGCAGAGAGGGACUGUGCAACAGAACCUACAGGACCUGGAUGGGCGGCUGUCUGACUUGGAGGAUCUGCAGGAGAGGGCAUCAGGAGAGG